CUACCUCCCAUCUUUAGUCUACUUUGCAGAAACACACCAUCAAACCCUCAUAUGUUUCUCUUUCCAGAUUCAAGAAACCCUCAAAUCUACUCUCCGAUCUUUUGUAGAAACCCUCAAAAUUAUCGCUCACAAACCCACCAUCAAACCCUCUCUAUUCCUGUAAAAAACCUCAAGAUGUACGAAAGAAAAACCACCGAGAAGUGUCGGAGCUACACAUCAAGGUAGCCCGAGAGAAAUGUUGGAGGUCCUCGCUUUGUGCACACAAAGACUCGGCGAAAUUAGAAAGAAAAGAAAUAAAGGAAUGAAACCAAGAAAAUCCGCACACGUAGCUUCAGCGAAUGAGCUACGGUGGAGUUAGUGGUGCAGUGUGCCGAUGAUGGCCGACUUAAGGCGGAGAACGUGAUGGGGCUUGAUGGUGCCCCUAUGCUAAGGCAACGCCCACAGGAGAAGCACCCGUGGAGGUUGGGUGCAACAUAGAAAAAUCGGAAAAAGAAAAAACCCACAGAUUAUGUUGGGAAAAGCUAUUUCAACAAAGGGAAAAAACCACAAUCUUCAAUAUUUCUGCAUCAUCAAUUGUUAUCAAAUGGAGGGCUACCAAGGGAAUGUGUAUGAGGUGGCAACAAGGAGGAAUACUACAGCUGUGUUGGUGGCUGGGGCUUUGAAAACAAUGAAGCAGAUGAUGAUUAAAGAAAGUAAAAAGUCUUUGCAAAGUGAUAAUGGUGGGUAAAUAUAACCUCUCAAAGCUACAUGAAAUAUACAAUUUGGCUAAGAGAUGUUUGGUGGUGGCAUUCCUAAGAAGGAUGGAAAAAUUGAUUGUGCUGAAGACUCUUUCGGCAGGCAAGGCAAGCAUUUUUGAUUGUAUCAGGACAACUGCAGGUUGAAACAUAUGCCUGUGCGCUCAGUCGUGUGUAUACCUUCAGGCCAACAUGUCGAGUAUUGCCUGCGUGACUGAAAGAGUGGUUAUUCAAAGUAUCCAUGUCUCAUCCUAUACCAUUAACAUUCUACGUUAUAAUGUACUUUGUCUUUACAGAUGGAUGGAUACCAUACAGUUAAUAUGAAGAUUAUCAUGGCAACUAACCGAGCUGACACUUUGGACCCUGCCCUCCUAUGUCUGGGAAGACUUGAUCGUAAUAUUGAGUUCGCUUUGAAGGUGAUACCAUAUUUCAGAAAAUUGAAGGUGUUGAAGUGUGCCUAUUUGGAAUGUGCGCUUGAGAAUGGAUCUGAUUGUCAGCAGUUGAUCAUCGCUGAUCUUACGUGGAUUCAGUUAAGUAUUUCAGGCCAGAGGUCAAAGCAGUGACUGGAGAACCUCUGCAAACAUUCGUGCACCAUGAAUUUUGUCAAGUUUCUGGAACCACUGCCCUUUUGCUAUUGCUAUCUUCUCUGUUGUGGCAAGAUAUUGUAGUUGCAAUUUCUGGUGCAAGUACCCAUAAUAUUCUUAUAUAUUCAGAUUCGACACUUAGAAUACUGCAAAAAGUGAAGUUUCAGUAGCUGUUGUCAUGGGCUUGCCCUCCGUUGAAAGGAGAAGAUUGCAUUUUGUAUUGCAAGCAGAAAUUCAAAAGACACCAAAAUCAGGUAAACUUAGGGAGUGGUAAGUUUGGUGGUGGUUUGAUUAUUAUACUGUUAAUUAUGAGUUGUGAGUAUGUCCCACUAUUUUAUUUGAAUUAUUGCUUUGGUUUCAAGUGCUUGUCCAUGCUAAGAAAAGCUGCAAAGAAAAAUAUUGUACUUGACAUCGCUAUGAUAAUUUAUUUGUGUCUACCCGUGAAUGCAAAGCAAAGGUAGAUGCAGCGUGGUUGCCAUACUUUGAUUGGGAUUCUUGGCUUGGUGCUCCAGAGGACAUGAUCUAUCAACUACAACAACAAGAGGAUAGGAGAAAACAGCAUAAGAAGGGAACUAUGAAGAAGAUGAUCACGAAAAAAGCUCUGGAGGCAUCUGGCCAAACUGUGCUUGGUGAAACAAUAUCACCCAGGAAGGAAGACUCUGUCAUGGUACACUUACAGCAUGCAUGUGCGCACGCAUUGCUGCAUUCCGAUCGUCUCUGGAAAUUGUUGGCAAAUGGUUUGGUCUCGAGAAUUUGGUUGAUGCGAAUAUGAGGAUAUGUGAACAUGUAGAAAACGAAGUGCAGAUAUUUAAGGAUGUUGUGGAUGAGAUCAGAGAAGUUGGAGGAAGUUAAUGCUUGCAAUAGAGGAAGGUGAUUUUGAUGUUGCAGUGCUCAAGAGCCGGAGGGUCAAGAACCAAGCUUUGCCAAAGGACUUGGUUGAAUUUAAGUAGCUCAACAAGUGGCACAUUGUUACUGAGCUUUUUGGUGCAGGAUACAUAGUAACUAACCUUGUAAGAUGGUGAGUUAGUUCCCAAAAGAGUCCCAGCUAGAACAUGAGAUGAUCCUUAUGUAGUUACAAAAAAGUGUAUAUUGUCCUUCCCCCCC